CAACCCAGGUUCUCACACCUGCUAGCUGAGAGCUCUACCACUGAGCUACGCCCUCACUCCUGUAGGAAUAUCUCAACGGACAGUUUCUGGACCCUGUAAAAUGUUUUUCAUUCUCCUGGUGAGGAGUCAGAAGCCCU
rnacentral:lncRNA from 1 species